GGUGGCAUGGCCGAGUGGUUAGGUAGCGGUCUGCAAAACCGCGUACUCCAGUUCAAAUCUGGAUGCCACCU
rfam:Candidate division WOR-1 bacterium RIFOXYC2_FTLL_41_25 rifoxyc2_full_scaffold_748, whole genome shotgun sequence.